rnacentral:rRNA from 1 species
AACGAACGCUGGCGGUAUGCUUAACACAUGCAAGUCGAACGAACAAAAUUGGGGCUUGCUCCAAUUUUAGUGAGUGGCAAACGGGUGAGUAACACGUGGGAAUCUACCUAUCAGUACGGAAUAACAUUUGGAAACAGAUGCUAAUACCGUAUAUUCUCCAAGGAGGAAAGAUUUAUCGCUGAUAGAUGAGCCCGCGCAAGAUUAGGUAGUUGGUAGGGUAAUGGCCUACCAAGCCGACGAUCUUUAGCUGGUCUGAGAGGAUGAUCAGCCACACUGGGCCUGGCACACGGCCCAGACUCCGACGGGAGCCAGCAGUGGGAAAUAUGGGGCAAUGGGCGCAAGCCUGACCCAGCCAGGCCGCAUGAGUGAAGAAGGCCUUCGGGUUGUAAAGCUCUUUCGGCGGGGAAGAUUAUGACGCUACCCGCAGAAGAAGUCCUGGCUAACUCCGUGCCAGCCGCCGCCGAAA